rnacentral:rRNA from 1 species
AAGUGUGGAAUAAUUUCAAGAAAGGGUAGAUAAUAGAGAAUAGUCUCUCAAGGUUUAGAAAAUUGAGAGUAAAGGAUUUAUUCGCUUCGAGAGGAGCCUGCGUCCCAUCAGCUAGUUGGUAGGGUAAUAGCCUACCAAGGCAAUGACGGGUAGGGGACCUGAGAGGGUGGCCCCCCACAAUGGAACUGAAACACGGUCCAUACACCUACGGGUGGCAGCAGUAGGGAAUAUUAGAAAUGGGCGAAAGCCUGAUCUACCAACACCGCGUGUGCGAUGAAGGCCUUCGGGUUGUAAAGCACUUUUUGGAGGGAAUAGGAAGGAAGGUACCUCCAGAAUAAGUCUCGGCUAACUACGUGCCAGCAGCCGCGGUAACACGUAGGAGGCAAACGUUAUCCGGAUUCACUGGGCGUAAAGCGCGUGUAGGUGGUUCUGUAAGUAGGGCGUGAAAGCUCCCGGCUCAACUGGGAGAGGCCGUACUAAACUGCAGAGCUAGAGGAUGGUAGAGGGAGGUGGAAUUCCAGGUGUAGUGGUGAAAUGCGCAGAUAUCUGGAGGAACACCAGUGGCGAAGGCGGCCUCCUGGACCAUUCCUGACACUCAGACGCGAAAGCUAGGGUAGCAAACUGAAGGAGCGACUCCCGGUAGCCCUAGCCCUAAACGAUGCCUCUAUAGGGGUCGGCGGUUUAAUCACCGUCGAUGUCCAAGCUAACGCGAUAAGUCUGCAGCCUGAGGACUACGGCCGCAAGGCUAAAACUCAAAGGAAUUGACGGGUCCCCGCACAAGCAGCGGAGCGUGUGGUUUAAUUCGAUGCUCCGCGAAGAACCUUACCUGGGUUUGACAUAACAGUGGUAGAGAAGUGAAAACGGAUCGACCCUUCGGGGAGCUGUUACAGGUGUUGCAUGCCUGUCGUCAGCUCGUGUCGUGAGAUGUUCGGUUAAGUCCGCUAACGAGCGCAACCCGCGCUGUGUGUUACAAGUGUCACACAGUACCGCCGGUAUUAAGUCGGAGGAAGGUGCGGAUGACGUCAAGUCAGCAUGACCUUUAUAUCCAGGGCUACACACACGCUACAAUGGUCAGAACAAUAGGUUGCCAAGCCGCAAGGCGGAGCCAAUCCUCCAAAUCUGGCCUCAGUUCAGAUUGCAGGCUGCAACUCGCCUGCAUGAAGUCGGAGUUGCUAGUAACCGCAGGUCAGCAUACUGCGGUGAAUACGUUCCCGGGGAUUGUACACACCCCCCGUCAAG